rnacentral:rRNA from 1 species
UCGACCUCGGAUCAGACAGGGA